rnacentral:tRNA from 1 species
GGGGCCGUAGCGCAGCGGUUGUCGCGUCGGGACUCAUAAUCCCGAAGGACGCCGGUUCGAAUCCGGCCGGUCUUCG